CUUGACCAGCCUGAUUGGUUGCAGGAGGGGACCAAUCAGAGGUACCUCCCAUUUUUCAUCUGCAGCCCAAUGCAAAGUAAUGACAUGGAUCUGGAGAGAUUCUCUUAGGAGAGAAUCUGGCUAAGUGUCUAGCAGGAUGAUUGAUUAACAAGAUGUUUUGUUUUCAUCAUCUCAGAGAUAAGUACAACUAUUCUGUCAUCUAAUCUGCUAACUCCUACAUUAUCAAUACGCUGUAUUGAGGUAUAAUUGAUAUGCCAAAUAACUGGACACAUUCAACUUGUGCAAUUUGAUGAGUUUGGAGAUACACAUACAUCUGUGAAACCAUCACCAAAAUCAAGAGAAAGUGGACUAUGAACAAUCGAAAGAAAGUGGUGGAUGGUUUCUGGAAGGACAAGUCUGCACCAGAGAAUAAAAGGGCAUUCCUUAGGGUUGCUGAGGAUUUUCUUUGAUUGUAUUCUGCUAAUGUGUGUGCAAGGCAGAUAUAACACAUUUGUGGAAGGCUCUAGAGACAUUUUCUACAAAUUUUACCCUGGUUUCAGAACAACUUUCUCUGAUCUCUGUGGACAUGCUUAAAAUGGCUGACUCACACAGCAAGACUAUUUAACUGUGCCUAAAAUCAACCCACAUUCAGAUGCUAACUGUAAUCCUAUUCCCUGAUCCAUCAGGAAAAAGAGUCUGAUUGACAUAACUUGUCAAGUGUUCGCCCCAGCUUCUAUCAACUAUGGGGAAGGAAGGGCCAGAAGAGGUGUAACCAUCAUGGCUACCAGGUUUCGAAAUAUUUACAUUACAUACUGCAUUUAUUAAAAUACAAAUUAAAUCUGCAAUAAAAAAC
rnacentral:lncRNA from 1 species